CGCUAGGAAGCUAAAUAGGAUGUAAGCGUUAGCCUUUUAAGCUGAAGAUCGGUGCCUCCCAACCACCCCUAGCGA
rnacentral:tRNA from 1 species